CCUACGGGAGGCAGCAGUGGGGAAUUUUGGACAAUGGGCGCAAGCCUGAUCCAGUCAUGCCGCGUGAGUGAAGAAGGCCUUCGGGUUAUAAAGCUCUUUCGGACGGAAAGAAAUCGCGCAGGCUAAUACCCUGCGCGGAUGACGGUACCGUCAUAAGAAGCACCGGCUAACUACGUGCCAGCAGCCGCGGUAA
rnacentral:rRNA from 1 species